UACCAGACUCCUACGGGAGGCAGCAGUGGGGAAUAUUGGGCAAUGGAGGCAACUCUUACCCAGCAAUGCCGCGUGAAUGAAGAAGGUCUUCGGAUUGUAAAGUUCUUUAAUUGGGGACGAAAAAAAUGACGGUACCCAAGGAAUAAGCCCCGGCUAACUACGUGCCAGCAGCCGCGGUAAUACGUAGGGGGCAAGCGUUGUUCGGAAUGACUGGGCGUAAAGGGUGUGUAGGCGGUGUAGCAAGUUAGAAGUGAAAUCCCAAGGCUCAACCUUGGAACUGCAUUUGAAACUGUUGGUCUUGAGUAUCGGAGAGGCAGGCGGAAUUCCUAGUGUAGCGGUGAAAUGCGUAGAUAUUAGGAGGAACACCAGUGGCGAAGGCGGCCUGCUGGACGACAACUGACGGUGAGGCGCGAAAGCGUGGGGAGCAAACAGGAUUAGAUACCCGCGUA
rnacentral:rRNA from 1 species